UACGUAGGGUGCGAGCGUUAAUCGGAAUUACUGGGCGUAAAGCGUGCGCAGGCGGUUAUAUAAGACAGAUGUGAAAUCCCCGGGCUCAACCUGGGACCUGCAUUUGUGACUGUAUAGCUAGAGUACGGUAGAGGGGGAUGGAAUUCCGCGUGUAGCAGUGAAAUGCGUAGAGAUGCGGAGGAACACCGAUGGCGAAGGCAGCCCCCUGGGUCAAGACUGACGCUGAUGCACGAAAGCGUGGGGAGCAAACAGG
rnacentral:rRNA from 1 species